rnacentral:rRNA from 1 species
GACGAACGCUGGCGGCGUGCUUAACACAUGCAAGUCGAACGAAGAGCUCUGGACGCUUGCUUCUAGCGUUCUUAGUGGCGAACGAGUGAGUCACGCGUAAUGAAUCUCCCCUUCAGAGGGGGACAACAGCUGGAAACGACUGCUAAUCCCGCAUACGAUCUAAUCUCGGUAUCGAGGAGAGAUGAAAGGUGGCCUCUACAGUUAAGCUAUCACUGAGGGAGGGGAUUGCGUCUGAUUAGCUAGUUGGGGGGGUAACGGGCAACAGAGGCGAGGAUCAGUAGCAGGCCUGAGAGGAGGCAAGGCAACAUUGGGCCUGAGACACGGCCCAGCCUCCUGCGGGAGGCAGCAGUGGGGAAUCCCCCGGAAAGGCCGCAGUUGUGACGGAGCAACGCCGGGUGAGUGACGACGCCCGUCGUGUUGUAAAGGUCUGUUAAUCGGGAGGAAAGUAAUUCUUUCGAACAGUUGGAAGGAUUGACGGUACCGGAAGAGAAAGCCACGGCUAACUCCGUG